AGAGAGGGACAUGCGCAGUGAGUGCCUCCCGUCUCUUCUACCCGAACCCCCCUCCCCCCCAAGCAGAGAGACCCCAGCAGCAGCAGCAGCUGAUGAUGAAGAGAGAGGCAGUGGCAGAGGGGGGGCACCUUUUAUUUCUAUUUUUAAAGGGACAGGACACUAAUUCUAUCCCACUUCAACCUUGAAUUGAGGGGGGUGGGGGGAAGGCGGCUGAGUUCCUUCCCCCACCCUCCAGCCCUGAGCCCUGAGAGGGGGAUUGAGCCUGAGAGAGGAGGAGAAGGAGUUUCUUCUUCUUCGAAAACCCCCAUCCACGACUCCUACCCCCUCACCCCUCCAACUCGCCUCCCUCCCGAGUCCCCUCCACCCUCCUCCUCUUUGGCCGUGAGAGGAGGAGAGAAAGAAACCAAAAGCCUCUUAGCAACACAGACCCUUUGCUGCUGCUGCUGCUGCUGUUGCUGCUGCUGCUGCUGCUACUGCUGCUGCUGCUACUGCUGCUGCUUGGCCCUGGCUGGAGACAUCUCACUACACCCAGGAGCAGCCACUUCCCCAGCUCUCCUCCUCCUCCUUCGCCUCCUCCUCCUCCACUCCCCCCCUUUAUUACCCUUUGUGUCAUCCUCCACAGCUCCAGGGAAGGCACUCAAAAGUGGGGGGCAGGAAAGACAAUUAUCAACUUUCCAGUUUUCUAUGGAUAUGAAGAUAUACUCCUAGUCAUCAGUGGGACCCCCAUGAAGUCAGCCAGAAAGCCUAUAUCCAAGUUAUGUACCUUUGCAAACUUGUCUGGAUUUUGACUGUAUGUGCAAAACAGAUUGUAUUUAGCGAUUCAUUAAACAUCUUUUGAUCAUCUGCUGUCUGCCAGGCACUGUGCUAGGCAUCUGAAAAACAAAGAUGGUCCCUGCAGUUUAAUGUGAAGAGCUACCUUAAUUGUAUUCCACAAGUGUAUUGGUCAUAUCUUUGUUUUGGUGUUUCUACCUAAAUAAAUUUUAUAUUAACUAAACGGAUACUGUUAGGUGGAAAAAUGCAUGUCUAAGAAGAAUAUUGCUGUUAUUUUAUUAAAAUACAAAUAUAUAAAGAAAAAUUUUCCACUUAAUACUGUAUUCUAGGGAUUUAUAUUCUGUAAAUAGUUAACACAUUUUAGACAAUGAAAAUAGUCUUAUGUGGCUGCCUUUGCUGGAUUUUUAUUGCUAACCGUAAUUCUUUUAAGAUGACCAACAAUGUUCAUUAAAUUAUCUCAUUAAAUUUUUCCGGAAAAAACACCCCAAACUCUCUAAACUUAAAUCUUUUUUUCAAAAGUAACUUUUUUCUUUUUUACCUCAUAUAACAGAUUAUCAUUCAUGAUUCAUUGGAAGACAUUGUACAUUUUCAUUUUGAGUUUUCAGAUAUUUUCUACCAUAUUUUAGCAAAUCUAACAGCAUGAUUUAAUUAUUCUGCAGUAAUUAGUGUGCACUAUUUAGGAGUUUUGGAACUUUUAGUAUGUAGUAGAAAUAUCAUUGCAAAGUCCUCAUAAGAAACUUCCCAAUUCUAGUUCUAAAUCAGUUGUAAUUUUUACUCUUUAUUAAGUGGUAUAGUUUCUAUAGCUUUAGUAAAAUGAAUUAGAAUUUUCUUUGUAGAUGGAUGUUUCAAAAACAAAGAAUCUUAUCUCAGUGCCUGUCAUGGCUUUCAUGUGUAAUCGAAAAGUGUAUUAGAGAGAAAAAGUACUGGAUUCAAUUUGUCCUUGUUAAAGUAUACCUUUUACAAAAGUAUUGAUUAGCAGUUAAAAAGAAGGUGGGGAUGCCUCUGCUGGUGCAGUAUCUUGUGAAGAUAGACUCCUGAGUGGUGAAUUCUGAUCUCUUUCACAUUCAUUUUUAAAUUUCUGUUUUAGUAAUAAUCAUAGUUACCAUUUAUUAUAAGUACCCAGCACUGUGAUAAAUUCAAUUCACAUUACAUUUAUUACACUUUCUAAUUCAAAACACAGUCACAGUAGAGUUUUUAUCAAUCUGUACACUGGUAAGCGAUGGUAAAUUAUGGCUCUGAUAGCUUGACAGACAAAUGGAAAAUUUCUGAACGUUUACAAGGAUAGAAAAACAAAGAAAAAAAA
ensembl:lncRNA